rnacentral:misc_RNA from 1 species
UCGUAGGGAUUCGUCCCUAUUGAGAUAGCACCCUUUGUUUAUGAGCACCAUUUGUUUCCUCGGCGGGCCUGCCCGCCGCUAGGACCCCCAAUAAACCUUUUGUAGUAGCAGUAUCUUCAGUUACAAACAAAUAUUA